rnacentral:rRNA from 1 species
AAAUAGAUACCCAGGUAGUCCACGCCGUAAACCGAUGGAUGCUAGCUGUUAUGAGUAUCGACCCUUGUAGUAGCGAAGCUAACGCGUUAAGCAUCCCGCCUGUGGAGUACGAGCGCAAGCUUAAAACAUAAAGGAAUUGACGGGGACCCGCACAAGCGGUGGAGCGUGUUGUUUAAUUCGAUGAUAAGCGAAGAACCUUACCAAGGCUUGACAUCCCUGGAAGGUCUCCGAAAGGAGACUGUGCCUUCGGGAAUCAGGUGACAGGUGAUGCAUGGCCGUCGUCAGCUCGUGUCGUGAGAUGUUUGGUUAAGUCCAUCAACGAGCGCAACCCUUAUAAAUAGUUGAAUUUUUCUAUUUAGACUGCCUCGGUAACGGGGAGGAAGGAGGGGAUGACGUCAGGUCAGUAUUUCCCUUAUGCCUUGGGCUACAAACACGCUACAAUGGCCGGUACAAAGGGCAGCCAACCCGCGAGGGGGAGCAAAUCCCAUCAAAACCGGUCCCAGUUCGGAUAGCAGGCUGAAACUCGCCUGCUUGAAGUCGGAAUCGCU